AGUGGUCCGAAGACAGUGGGUUACCGACCAAAUACCCCAUUGUCGCUCCCUUGACCACUUUU
rnacentral:pre_miRNA from 1 species